GUGUUCCUGUCUGGGAGACAGGAAAUAUGAGAGGGGAAUGAAAUACAGGAAAAGGGAAGUGCUGGCAAAGUGUGUCAUGCAUAGUGUGGAAGGGCAUCAUGCUCCUGGAAUUGAAAAAUCAUAACGUCUUGGUUAUGAUUUUUCUUGAUUUUUCGGUCUUUUGUGGGCUAUUUUAAACAAACAGUGCGAAAGAGAAACAUAGUUAUUUUUUAAGGAAGUGGUCUGUGUCACUGGAUAUUGUAAGCUUUAGGUGAGGAAUAGAUUUUAGAAGUUCCUAAUGAUACUUGAUCUCCUUCCACUGACCACCCAACUGGUGGUAUGUUUAAAAGUUCCGUCCAGAUCCUUUCCCAGAGUACAUGUAAAUGAAACGCAACAGAGAGCUUAGAUCGCUUCUGUAGCUGGAUACAUUUAUAUGCAUAGAAGACUUAGACACCUUGUGACAAGUGGUUUCUUGUUGUAUAAGCCGUGUCAGAGGACGAGUGACAGUUAGAGAAAGUGCCUUACCCAGGGUCUUUUAAGAAGAGGUUAGCAGUAGCAGAAAUAAAAAUACCAGUCCCUGGGAAUCAGUCUCGUGGGUCAGGCCAGCUUCCCCAGGCAGAUGGGAUAGAGGCAUCUCAAGUUACUCAGCUGGACUGCUGCCUCCUCAAAGAGAAGGUGAACAGUGCAGAAGUAGGCUGGCACAUAACCUUCCUACAGUCUUAAAGAGCAAAAACUAAAAUUGUAGAAGAAAUAGGACACUAAAACUUUUCCAUCUAGAGAGAGGGUCGUGCAAAGGCAAAGAGGUUAAAGAAGCUGGCUGUUAUCAUCUGAUCAAACAGGCUGUUUGAUCAGGUCAGGGAGCUGUUCUGGAGCCUGGCAUGGGCUUUCACAGGGUGAAUGACAGGGGCUGCUAUCACUGGUGACAAGGUCACAGCUGAGAAAUAUGAAAAUUCAUCUUUAAGAAGAUGAAUCCUGCUCAAGGAAGGACACCCAGAAGAGGACUGAAUCCUACCUCCAGAUGAGAGGAAUUACCUGGAGAACUCAGGCAGGAGAGCAUUUGGGUUGUUCAGCAGGCUAGGUUAGCAGGAUGUCCAUAGAAGAGGGGAAAACAAAUGUGUCAGCACAAGAAAAUAAAAGCUAGUGCUCCGAGUUUGAUUCCAUUCCCCAUCACAACUCAGUUGCAAUGAAAUGCCGAAUAUUAAACACAUGGAGGAUCUAAAUUAAAAAGCAGAGGUCUCAGCAGCUACCCAGCAAUCAAGCGCUGUCUAUCUCACUUCAAGGACAAAAUAAGUGAAUCUGCAUCUCUGAGUUACUGAAUGCCUCCCAUGCUGAACCAGCACUGUGACUGUGACUUCCUACCGCCUUCUCUGUAGUUCCAUUUCUGAUGCUGGUCCAGAAAGUCCUCCUGAGAUUUACUGCAGGGCAAAAGGAUGAAGAGGAGGAAAAGAGGAAGAGUCACCAUGAUGGCUGUUGUAGGAUCUUGACUUCCCCUGUCUCUGUGGAGACAAAAAGUCUUGCUAAGUGUUUUAUUUAUUUUUUCUUCUCUUUUUACACUUUCCCAUCUGUCACCACAACACCAAAUUUCUCUUUGGUUAUGUUUUUAUUUAAAAUGUUGCUCAAGUUGCUCAGAAUAGGUUUUACAAAAGCACAAGGACUUUUCUUUUUCACAAGGACAAACUUUACUUCCUUUUCAAGGAACAGAGUGGUACUGAGAUGCUUCAUCAACCAGCAGAUGCUGGGGAAGUAGCUUUACUUCCUAUGUGGCAAUGUUAGGAUAGCACCUUAUAGCCACAAUUGUUCUAGCAGUGUCAGGAGGAAGUACUAAAAGUGUGAGAAUCACUGCACUCCUACUUUGUAUUUGGGAGAAACAAGGUAAACAACCAUUAAACAAUUUAUCAAGUGUCUCAUAAGGGACAGAAUAAAAAAAAAACAAAUGUUCUUUUGAUCUGAUCCACUAACCAGUGGCAACAUCUUAGAUGCUGCCCAGUGAUGGAGCCUCAAAGGUAACCCCACCCCCUAUGUACUGUCUUCACCUUGUCCUGAUGUCACAGGGUCAGUUCCUCCUGAGCAAAGCUGCAGAGUUGAUAGGACAUGUGUAUUAACUGCACUGAACACUUACUUAACUCCUUGUUUUCUUUCAAGUUUGCCAUCAUUUCCAAGCUAAGGAAGUCAACCCUAACCUACACACCCUCUUGGGCAAGUACCAUGUCUAAACGUAAGAGGAUAGGUCAAUCUCUCCACAGCUUACUCACACUGAUUUGUUAUUCUGUCCUAACAAAUUAGUCCCUCAGUGUUGAAUCUGGUAUUCUAAUUAAAAAAAAAAAAAAA